GUUAUUCUUCAGGGCAGGGUGGAAGUCCCGACCGGCGGUAAAGUCCGCGAGCGCAAGCUGAACCUGUGUGAUUCAGGUACCGACAGUACAGUCUGGAUGAUAGAAGAGAGCC
rfam:Peptoniphilus duerdenii ATCC BAA-1640 genomic scaffold SCAFFOLD1, whole genome shotgun sequence.